UGCAUACGUAGCCUACGGUUGGCCGCAAA
rnacentral:piRNA from 1 species